rnacentral:rRNA from 1 species
UAAUACCCGCAGCCCGAGUGGUGAUCGUUAUUAUUGAGCCUAAAGCGUCCGUAGCUGGUUCGUUAAAUCCUUGGGUAAAUCGGGUAGCUCAACUAUUCGAAUUCCGAGAAGACUGACGGACUUGGGACUGGGAGAGGUCAGAGGUACUCCAGGGGUAGGGGCUAAAUCCUGUAAUCCUUGGGGGACCACCAGUGGCGAAGGCGUCUGACUAGAACAGAUCCGACAGUAAGGGACGAAGCCCUGGGUCGCAAACCGGAUUAGAUACCCGGGUAGUCCAGGGUGUAAACGCUGCAGGCUUGGUGUUGGGGACCCUACGAGGGUGCCCAGUGCCGGAGAGAAGUUGUUAAGCCUGCCGCUUGGGGAGUACGCUCGCAAGAGUG